CCUCCUAAACUCUAUUAACCUGCAUCCAAUUAAACAUAAUAACCCACCUCUUAUGUCAAUUUCGAUGAACUCUCAUCAAAAAUCCACCAAUAAUCAUUGAACCACCCUCCAUCCUAUUUGAAUCACCACCAUAAAUAACAAAAACCAAUGAACAAAUCAACCAAAACAACACAUUUUAAUUAAUUUUGGUGAUGUCACGCUAGAAAAUAACCAAAAAUCGAUACGGGUUAGUUGGGUCAAUUAGGGUCAUUUUACAUUUUUUUGGGUGAAUUGAUUUUUGGUUCUAGGGUUCGAUUUGAGUUGGAUCCGAGGCUAAUCAAUAUUGGGUUUAGUUUGAGGUUCGAUGGCACACAAAUUAAGUAAUUCAAUUUGAUUGGAAUAAAAUCAUCAAUUGAGGUCUAAUUCUUCAACUCUAUUUCUUUUCUAUUUUAUCUUAAUGUGGGAUGUUGAUGUUAUGAUUACGUGACUCGUCUGUGGUUGGUAAUACAUUUUGAUAUUGUAUUUGAGCAAUUCUAAUUGAUGUGGCUUUGGUUGUUUGAUUUCAUUUUAAAAUUGAUUAAUCAUGUGAUUGGGAAUGAAAUUGAGGGCAGGGAUUGAAAAUUGAUAAAAAUGAAUAUUGGUUUGUUUUGAUUCAUUGAUGGUUGUUUAACUCAGAAUAGGCAUCAAUUUUGUUAAAUACAGUAGCAUCAUGAUUAGGUCAUCAAAUAAGGUACGCAAAUUAUAGAAUUCCAUAUUUAUCGAAUAUUUGAAUGUGUGUUUGAAUGGUUUUCUAUUUCAUUUCCCAAAAUUAAAGUUGUAUUCAUUUUUCAAAGAAUGCCUCGAGAUCUUAUGUAUUUACUAGACAGGGAAUGCCCUAAGGUCUUAUGCAUUCAUUAUCGGAGAAUGACCCAUAAGAUCUUAUACUUGGCGGCAUUCGUGGACAAGACCCGAGAUAUCUUAGGAUUAGUUUAGGAUAUAAUAGGUUUUCAUUCUAGUACCCUUUCAUUUUUGGGAUUGUAUAAUUAGACUGGACAUUAUGUUGGAACUUUUAUUUGUUUGUGUGUUUUGUUUGCUUAUGUGUUUUUUUUGUGAUAUUUAUCCAUCCCAUAGUGUCAUAUUAGCCGAUAUAACUCAAACAAAGCAACUAUGCUCGAGUCAUGGGACCGAGGGGUGCCUAAACCCUCCUCUUGGUCAAUAUAAUUCCUUGAUUGGAAUAUUUAUUCGUGGAUCAGAUUUAAGAGUCAAACAUUUUAAAAAGGGGAAUUUAAAAAGUUGACUUGGUGCACCAAAUAAUGCUAAGUGGCGAAUCUGAGUUUUAAUUGCAAAAUCCUUUUUUGAGACACAUUUUCAUUUUAGUCACUUUAAUAAUACAAACCCUUUUGAAAUUUAAAAUUAAUCUUUUCAUGGUAAAAAAGGGGUGUGACUUCUCUUGCGACUCCACUGGGGAUUUUUAAAAUUCGAGCUUUAUUUUUUAGUUGUAUCAGCUUAGUUUGACACUAUAGGAGCAUAGAAUCUUUGUUAUUUUUAUCAUUUUAUCAUUGUUGGAUGUCUACGUGAUAUUUAGUUAUAGUUUUUCUUUACGUGUUACUACUUUAUAUCUAUUAUCAUAUGCAUCACCUUGAGUCACCUUGAGUCAUUCCUUUCAAAUCAAGUAUCGUAGUACAUGCUAUGUACACGAACCUUUAUUAAGUCACCUUUAUUUUAGGAGGGAGAGACAUCGGCUGGUACGGAGUGGUGGAAAGCAAUCGCAGCCACCAUCGAUCAUACCCUCCCCUGAGUUGUCCUGUCAUUUGAACCCAAGCCUAGGUCGACCUUAAGGUCAUUCUUAUUUUUAUCAUGUUAAGACGUAGUGGGACUAAUUUGGCUCUUUGCAGGACAUUUAACCCUAAGCAUCCCUAUGUAUUACUUGUUGCAUCUUUAAGAGUAAAAAUAUCAUUUGAUGUGCUGAUUUAGAGAUGCAUAUACUAAAAUGGUUAGAAAAUAUGUGUUUAGGAAAGGGUGAUUAAGGAAAAAAAGUGUCGAAAAAUCAAAUUCAAAAAAAUAAGAAAAAGUCAAAAAAAGAAUUCAUAGUUUGUAGGGUUUCUCUUUGGCUUUUAUUUUCACAAUCAAAAAAAAAAUUCAAAAAACUUUUACCUUUUGCAUGUUUUUCUUAGAAAAAUAAAACAAAAUUAAAAAGAAUUUCCCUUUAUUUCCUUUAGCAUGUGUUUACAACUUGAAAUUUUCAAAAAAUAUUUUUAUUUGGUAGUAGCUUUUAUACAUUUUUUAUAGAAGAAAAUCCAAAAAAAAUGUUAGAAGUUUUUUACAUUUCAUAUAAUGAACAUGUAAAAAUGAUGUUAGAAGUUUUGUACAUUUCAUAUAAUGAAAAUGUCAAAAAUAUUUUUCUUUUAGCGUCUUCAUGUUUUCUAUGUCAAAAUUUCAAAAAUAUUUUUAUUUUGGUGUUUUAUUUUUGAACAAUUUCAUAUAAAAUACAAAAAGAUUUUUCUUUCGUAGUUUUUGGUUUCAUUUUACAUGAAGUUUCAAAUCAAUAACUCUAAAAAAGAAAAAAGAUUUUAUUUGUGUGUUUUAUCAUCUAUUUUUUAUCGUGUCUACCAAGUCAGUGUACAGUUUAUUAUUUAAUCUUUAAUUGUCCAAUCUGGACGAACUAUGCACACGUGAUUCUCUUCUCUCAAGAGUGUGAUACGUAGGCAACCCUUCUUAGGUUCGGUAAUCUUUAAAAAAAAAAUAUCCAAAAGAUUAUUUUUCAUGCUUCAUUAAAAAAAUAUCCAAAAGAUUAUUUUUCAUGCUUCAUUUAGAGUUGGUGUUCCAUAUACGUCUUUAAAAAAAGAAAAUACAAAAAGAUUUUCCUUUAGUAGUUUUAGAUUUCAUCUGUGAAUGAAAUUUAAAAUCAAAAAUCCAAAAAGAAUUUUUGUCAAUAUUAUUUGAAAAAAAUAAUAAUUAAAAAAAUUCAUUUAUCCUUCAUUUUAGAUUAGUUGUCUCAUGCAUUUCUUCAAUAUGAAAAAUACAAAGAGAUUUUUUUUUGGUAAUCAUAGGUUUCUUUUUAAAUAAGUAAUUCAAAGUUGAAAAAUUCAAAAAUAUUUUCACUAACUUCUUGUGAAAACUCUUUAUUUUGUGUUAAAACUUCACGAACUACUCACACCUGAUUCUUGUCUCUCGAGGUUGAGAUACAUAGGCGCCUUUCUUAGGUUCAGGGAUCAUUUUAAAAAGAAAAAAAAAAGAAAAAAGAGAUUUUAAAAAGAUUUUAAAAAAGAUGUUGAACUCUAACGUAUUUGUUAUUUCAAUUAUUCAGUUAGUUUAAGGUGGUUGGUUUGCG
rnacentral:lncRNA from 1 species